GGUAUGGCUCAGUGGUAGAGUGCGUGCUUAGCAUGCACGAGGUCCUGGGUUCAAUCCCUGGAACCU
rnacentral:tRNA from 1 species